ACGUGACCUAUAAAUAAAUAAAUUUUGAAAUGAUAAAUAUCAACGAGUUAAGAUUUGGUAUUCCGACACACUGUGUGACAUAUCUUGUUCAGCUACACUAUAGACAGAUAAAGGGUGUCACAUUCCCCCGAUUGAUACACUUUCAUACCCAGUGCACAAAACCGUCCCACCUAUGUUAAAAAUUGAUUUGAAGAAACAAUUUGAUUGUUUUGAAAUUCCUAUGAUUUCUCAUUGUAAAACAAGAAAUUCAAUUUGCAUUCACAUUCUCAGUUGUAAUGCUUAUGACCUACCUGAAACCAAAACUUAUAAUUCACCCAUAAAAUAAAAUUUUAAGUCUAAGGGUGCAAACUAAAGAGGUGAAUAAAAAUGGAGUUUCCAUCCGUUGCUAGCUACGAUCCAGGAAUGUAAGGGCAACACUACUAUUCCCUGAAGUCAUCUUUGUCAUCAACAGGAAUUGGUCUGUUCCUCCAAAACACCGCAAGAGCACUUCCACCAAGUGCCAUGCAAACAACACUAACAGCAGAAGGCACAGCCACUAGAGGGUUGGUGAAAUGUUUCUGAGCAAGCAGAAAUCCAAGUGCAGAGCUCUGCAUCCCACAUUCUAUGGAUAUGGUACGUGAUGUGGAUUCACCAAAUGAUGUUUUUGACAACCAAUAACCAAGAGCAAAUGCAGCAACAUGGAGUAGAGCCACUGGCAUUAUCAGUUGUGCGCCUUGGGCUUUCAACACAUCUGACACUUGUCCAAUAGGGCUUGCACAGAGUAGGGUUGUGAGAAGAACUCCAAUCAAAGGCGUUACUGUGAUUAUUUUUGAAGUGAACUUAGGGAAAAAUUCAUUCGAUAGCACUCCAACAACAGUUGGCACUAACACAACCUGAAACGUGCUAAUAGCCAGGCCCGCAGCAUCAACAGGAACAAGCUGACCAGCAAGAAGCUUAGUCAGGAGUGGUGUCAUGACGAUAGCUCCAAUUGUUGAACACGUUGUCAUAAGAACUGAAAGUGCUACAUUUCCUUUAGAUAUAUAGGUAGCAACAUUUGAUGCCUGUCCUCCAGGGCAACAUGAGACCAAAAUAAGACCAGUUGCAAGAGGUGCUGACAAUUUUAGACCCAUUGCAAUAACAAAGCCUAACAAUGGUUUGAUUAAGUACUGAGCCAGAAAUCCUACACCCACAGUCCAUGGGUUUCUUAAACAUCGCCUGAAAUCUUCAAAUGUCAAAGUCAAUCCCAUUGAAAGCAUGAGGAAACCCAGGCCAAGAGUGAAGAGGUCUGUCUCCAACCAUGUAACCGCAGAUGGCUUGUAGAUGCCAACAAUGGUGCCCAAUAUCACCCACACAGGGAAAAGAGUGGUAAGAGUUUCAAUUAUCCUUUCGUACUGGGUUAUCCCACUAGGUUUACCAUCAGGAACUUCUCCAGACACAUUUGUGGCAGCCUUGCACAAAACUUGGGAGUUCCUUGAAGUUUGAAUGAAACAGGAAGGAGCUGCAACAGCAACAACUGGUUUGCAUUGGAUUGCACAAAUUGUUCCAUUCUCGGGCGUAAAGAUCCCACAUCUAAGCUCCAGACGAGGUCUUAGCCUCCUGCCAUGGAAGCAAUAACUUGGCCCGUAGACAGCUUCACGUGUCUGUAACUUGCAAUCUUUGAGCACAAAUCUAGACAUGGACGCCAUUGAAAAAGAGGCAGCAGCAAAAGAGAUAAAAAGGGAUCAAUAGGUGUUGGGUAUAAGGGGAGGUUUUAGAGUUUUGACAUGGGAUGACUCCAAAAUGGCAGGGGUUAAAAGACAUAUGAAUAGGUGGUCAUGGAAAUCGAUAAGCCACACACAUCGAAGUGAAGAUGGCAAACAAUCUCGUCCAGAGAGUUUUG
rnacentral:misc_RNA from 1 species